AUGGAUGUAGAAGACCUAAAGGAGUAUGGUAAGGCAAACGGAAAGAUGUUUAGCAGUGAAAUGAGAGCAGCAUUUAAGAGGGUUCUUGAGCAAAAGAAACAACAACCACAACCACAACCACAACCCAAGAGGAAAAAGAAGAGGACCGCGUUCAGUCCAAUAUUGGGUGCAGUGUUGAAGUUCCACAAGGACGAUGGACGAUGA
rnacentral:rRNA from 1 species